rnacentral:rRNA from 1 species
GGCCGCGAAUUCGCCCUUAGGGUUUGAUUAUGGCUCAGGACGAACGCUGGCGGCGUGCCUAAUACAUGCAAGUCGAGCGAUGAUUAAAGAUAGCUUGCUAUUUUUAUGAAGAGCGGCGAACGGGUGAGUAACGCGUGGGAAAUCUGCCGAGUAGCGGGGACAACGUUUGGAAACGAACGCUAAUACCGCAUAACAAUGAGAAUCGCAUGAUUCUUAUUUAAAAGAAGCAAUUGCUUCACUACUUGAUGAUCCCGCGUUGUAUUAGCUAGUUGGUAGUGUAAAGGACUACCAAGGCGAUGAUACAUAGCCGACCUGAGAGGGUGAUCGGCCACACUGGGACUGAGACACGGCCCAGACUCCUACGGGAGGCAGCAGUAGGGAAUCUUCGGCAAUGGGGGCAACCCUGACCGA